GUCGAACGGCAGCACGGGUGCUUGCACCUGGUGGCGAGUGGCGAACGGGUGAGUAAUACAUCGGAACAUGUCCUGUAGUGGGGGAUAGCCCGGCGAAAGCCGGAUUAAUACCGCAUACGAUCCACGGAUGAAAGCGGGGGACCUUCGGGCCUCGCGCUAUAGGGUUGGCCGAUGGCUGAUUAGCUAGUUGGUGGGGUAAAGGCCUACCAAGGCGACGAUCAGUAGCUGGUCUGAGAGGACGACCAGCCACACUGGGACUGAGACACGGCCCAGACUCCUACGGGAGGCAGCAGUGGGGAAUUUUGGACAAUGGGCGAAAGCCUGAUCCAGCAAUGCCGCGUGUGUGAAGAAGGCCUUCGGGUUGUAAAGCACUUUUGUCCGGAAAGAAAUCCUUGGCUCUAAUACAGUCGGGGGAUGACGGUACCGGAAGAAUAAGCACCGGCUAACUACGUGCCAGCAGCCGCGGUAAUACGUAGGGUGCAAGCGUUAAUCGGAAUUACUGGGCGUAAAGCGUGCGCAGGCGGUUUGCUAAGACCGAUGUGAAAUCCCCGGGCUCAACCUGGGAACUGCAUUGGUGACUGGCAGGCUAGAGUAUGGCAGAGGGGGGUAGAAUUCCACGUGUAGCAGUGAAAUGCGUAGAGAUGUGGAGGAAUACCGAUGGCGAAGGCAGCCCCCUGGGCCAAUACUGACGCUCAUGCACGAAAGCGUG
rnacentral:rRNA from 1 species